rnacentral:rRNA from 1 species
UGGGGAAUUUUGGACAAUGGGCGAAAGCCUGAUCCAGCAAUGCCGCGUGUGUGAAGAAGGCCUUCGGGUUGUAAAGCACUUUUGUCCGGAAAGAAAUCCUUGGCUCUAAUACAGUCGGGGGAUGACGGUACCGGAAGAAUAAGCACCGGCUAACUACGUGCCAGCAGCCGCGGUAAUACGUAGGGUGCAAGCGUUAAUCGGAAUUACUGGGCGUAAAGCGUGCGCAGGCGGUUUGCUAAGACCGAUGUGAAAUCCCCGGGCUCAACCUGGGAACUGCAUUGGUGACUGGCAGGCUAGAGUAUGGCAGAGGGGGGUAGAACUCCACGUGUAGCAGUGAAAUGCGUAGAGAUGUGGAGGAAUACCGAUGGCGAAGGCAGCCCCCUGGGCCAAUACUGACGCUCAUGCACGAAAGCGUGGGGGAGCAAACAGGAUUAGAUACCCUGGUAGUCCACGCCCUAAACGAUGUCAACUAGUUGUUGGGGAUUCAUUUCCUUAGUAACGUAGCUAACGCGUGAAGUUGACCGCCUGGGGAGUACGGUCGCAAGAUUAAAACUCAAGGAAUUGACGGGGUCAUAGCUGUUUCCU